UACGGGGGAUGCGGGCGUUGUCCGGAAUCACUGGGCGUAAAGAGUUCGUAGGUGGUCUGUUAAGUUAGGUGUUAAAUUCCGAGGCUCAACUUCGGUAUGGCACUUGAUACUGGCAGACCUGAAUGCGGUAGAGGUAAAGGGAAUUCCUGGUGUAGCGGUGAAAUGCGUAGAUAUCAGGAGGAACAUCGGUGGCGUAAGCGCUUUACUGGGCCGUAAUUGACACUGAGGAACGAAAGCCGGGGUAGCAAAU
rnacentral:rRNA from 1 species